CAGACUUCUGAAGCCCUGCUUUUUAAUCAGUUAAAAAUACUGAAUAGCCACAUACAUAUUUUUAGUAGAAUCUGCUAAAUAUCACUCUCUGACAUCAGCCAGCUCAGACUCACUGUACUCCAAAGUAACCAUUUCAUGUUUUAGCAUCUUCAACAAGUCUCAAGAUGACUUUAGCUCUAUUCUUGACUGUUUAGCUUUCUUCUUAUCAGAACAUAAUUACUAAAGAAGGUAGCCAGAAACAACAGGGAUGAGAAAUCUACAGGGACCUCUUACGAUAUGAUGAGGUUUGACAUCCCUCAUAGCUGAGCUUCUAUGUGAAAAAGCCUGUACUUGGGCAGGAGAGUGAACACAGGCAAAGAAGAAAACAGGAUACAUGGCCAGACAUUCUAUGUAGGGCUUUUCUUCACUGCUCAAUGGGAAAAUGAGUGAAUGACAGUGUGUUAGAAAUUGAGAAGAAGCUUCAUACAUUCAAAGAUGCUGCUCCUGACCUCUUGUUCAGCAAAGAGAGAAAAUAAAGCAACAUCUACAAAACUUCUGUGCUUGGAAGCAACACAAGUUCUCUUGGACACCUGAAAGGUUCUUUCCCUCCCAUUCUUCCUAAACAGUGCCACCGCUUACCCAGGAUGUGUUAGAAGCUGAUGUCGGACCAGUAAAGUCACUUCUAGCAAGUGGCAUCCUUACUGUCACUCUUCAUUCAAGUCCACAGAGGCUGCCUCAACCUUUUCAACAAAAACUACCAACAAGGAGUAGCAGAGUACCUCAGCAGAGCUUUUUGUGCCAUUGCAACGCUUGUGAAACACAAACACGGAUGAACUUGAGAGCAACAUCUCUACCAGGUAAAAUGCUCAUUAAACAAA
rnacentral:lncRNA from 1 species